ensembl:lncRNA
UGGAUUCUGGCAGGCCCCUUGGGGCCUCGGAGCUCUGCGGCCGACCGGAGGAACCACUGCUGGAGGCUCCCGGCAGAGUAAGGUAAUCCCAAGGCCACAGGGACGUCCCGACACGUGCCAGGAGUCCCUCUCUGUGCCUGGGAGCAGGUGGGCCCGGGGCCCCUCAGAGCCGUCCUGUCCCCCCCCGGGACCCUCCCCCAAGGAGACUUCGCCUGCACCUCCUCUCCUUAGAAGGUGGGCUCCCUGUCACUGUCUUCUUAGAACAGUGAGGGUCUUCUGGCUGGGGAGGGCUGGGA